AGUUAAUGAUCUUGAAUAAAGUUU
rnacentral:tRNA from 1 species